rnacentral:lncRNA from 1 species
AAUAUAUUAUGUUCACGUUUUAAAGUUCUUUAUCUCCCUUAAAUAUAUUUCCUACUAUUUUAUAUAAAUAUGAUACAAAAAAAAUCAAAGUAAUUUGUCCUAAAAUGUAAAUUUAAAAAAAAAGAAAAGAAAAUAAAAAAUAAAUUAUACUUUUUGCUAUGUGAUGGUAGCAUCCGACCUAGCAAUUACGCGUAGCGCUAAAUUAACAAAUUUGUAAAUAACCCUGAAAUCUUAAAAUCCGACCAAAUUAAAUAGAUUGUUCAAGUUCUUGGCUCCAC